rnacentral:rRNA from 1 species
AGGAUUAGAUAUCCUGGUAGUCCACGCCGUAAACGAUGUGCACUAGUUUGGUGGAGAUCUGACUCUUUGCCAGACGCCGAGAAAUCAUUAAGUGCACCGCCUGGGGAGUACGGUCGCAAGGCUAAAACUCAAAGGAAUUGACGGGGGCUCACACAAGCGGUGGAGCAUGUUGCUUAAUUCGAAGCAACGCGAAGAACCUUACCUGGGCUUGACAUGUAUGGAUUAGCUCUUGGAAACAUGAGU